GGCAGGAUGUACUUGGGCUGGGACUCAAUUCAGCUGCUCACACACAGGCAUCUAUUACCAUCUGAGAUCCCCUCGGAAGUCCAAGAAGCACACAAGGCUGGAAGACAUGCCACACAGAGCCUCUGCGAGCAGUUAAUUGUGUCCUGGCCUCCUCAGCUGGCUGUAGCUGUUUCUGUUCUAAACUCGGCUCCUCAUGCUCUCAGGCCAAUCAUGUCAAUCUGGUGGAGUAAAGGUCUAAAGGAAGUCAGACCAAUGUAACUGUGUGGACACCCGCUUUGUUAAAAGGAUGGGAAAACCUUCUCCUUGGAGACCUUAGAUGAAAAAUUGAUGGUUGAAAGAUUUCAUAUGGAACAUACAACAAAAACCUCAAGAUCACCUUUUACUCAGUGUGGCACUCAGAACCACUACUACGCCUGAGGGGAACCUCCGCUCAUCCUCUGCCUGAGCCACUGG
rnacentral:lncRNA from 1 species